CUCCCGAUCUGGCCUGUACGCCGCCGCCCCGUACUCUGCUCCUCCCCGAGCCCCCUCGCUCGAUCCCGACCAGCAGGUCCCGAGCGCCUCGGCCUGCUCCUCACGCCGGCAUCCCGCGCCACCGCCGCCGACCUCGAGCCGUCGUCCAGUACCCUCUUCCGCGCGCCCUAUCUCCCUUCUUCUCCCUUCUCCCUUCCUUUUCUCUCUCUCUCUCUCUCUCUCUCAAAUCUUGUCUCUCUGUUUCAGGAACAACAGCGCCAUGUAUCCCGAUGUGGAGCUCCACUACGUCCCGAUCUGACCUGGGAGCGACCAGAUUCGUGCGUAUCCGCCUCGCUCCGCGCGGCUGCACAGUCCGCCGUCUUGCCGAGCGCCGGCGCCGCGCGCCGCGCUCAGCCGCCGCCGUCCCCUGCCAUGGCCGCCUCCCUCCUCCCGAACGACGUGCCAUGGCCGCCUCCUUGCCUCUCGCCCGGCUCAGCAGAUUAAUGGACGGCGCUGCCGACGGCGGUUCAUGCCUCGGUGCUCCUCACCGGCGGAAUUUGCCAGCUAUUCUAUUCUUAUCACGAUCUUCUCUGUUUUGAUGUACUAGGAUUUACUCCCAGCACCCGUACAUGAGCCCCAAGGCACCACGUGAUUCUGAUGAUACACCAACAUUGGGCCGGUCCUACAUUGCUGACCUGCUCCAUUCUAUCUGGCAGCUCCAUCGGGAAAGCACCAAGAUCAGAUCCAAACUCCAAGUAUUCGUGGAUAUAGGGAAUAGUUAUGGUACAAAUAGACUUGAUUGUACUGAUAAUUUUCAGCUUGGACAUGGAUCUCUUAUGGUACAAAUCACGUGACCCUUUUAGUUGUCCUUACUCCCGUAUGCAAUCAAGCUUGAUGAUAAAUUCUUGGAGAGACACUAGGUGCCAGGUAAGGUGACCCAAGACUAUUGCUUUCAGUUAUUCAAUGGUGUUCAUAUGGUACAUUGCUAUGUGCCAUUGCCUGCAGCGGCAAGCUUGAAUUCGGAAGAUGGAUGGGGGGAGAAAAAGAGUGAUUUAACAUAAUUUUGAUUACCGAUGCCUGCAUGGUUGCCGUGCAUGAGCAGCUGCUCACCAUGCGCAUGGGAGAGGAGGUCUUGCGUGAAGGCUACUCAGAGAGCACUGGAUGCAUGUCCGUGUCCGCGCACUUGGAGCAGCAGCCAAUGGAUGGUCGGCCAGAGGAGAAGAGACCUGAGAUUGAUUAGUUUAGAUUUUCCCUGUUUGCCUUGCAAUUUUCUACCAAUUUAUUGGCUUGACCUGAGAUUGAUUAGUUGCUAGCAUGUAAUGUUCACCUUCUUCUUAGUUUACAUACAGUUGGAGACUGGUUUCUUUUU